GUCUAUAUACGUAUAGCAUAUCAAUAAGCGGAGGAAAAGAAACUAACUAGGAUUCCCUCAGUAACGGCGAGUGAAGCGGGAAGAGCUCAAAUUUGAAAUCUUCAAGGUUCUACCUUGACGAAUUGUAGUUUAAAGAAGUGUUUUCUGUUGGAGUUUUGGUAAAAGUUCUUUGGAAUAGGACAUCAUAGAGGGUGAGAAUCCCGUAUUUGACCAUUAUCUUCCAACUGUGUGAUACACUUUCAAAGAGUCGGAUUGUUUGGGAAUGCAGUCCAAAAUGGGUGGUAAAUUUCAUCUAAAGCUAAAUACUUGGCGAGAGACCGAUAGCGAACAAGUACCGUGAGGGAAAGAUGAAAAGAACUUUGAAAAGAGAGUUAAACAGUACGUGAAAUUGUCAAAAGGGAAGCGUUUGACACCAGUGUUGUUUUCUCGAAAAUCAAUUAAAAAUGGUAGGGAUUUUGUGUUGUAUUGACUUUAUCAGCUUUCUGCACUUUUUUCCUGUCUUUUUUAAUGCACUUUUCGUUUAACAAGUCAACAUCAAUUUCUUUUGUUGUAAAAGAGUCAUUGGAAGGUGGCUUUCUUUUCGGAGUAAGUGUUUAUAGCCUUUGACUUCUGCAAUCGGAGAGAUUGAGGUCUGCAGCGUAGAUCCUUCGGGGUUAGAUGCAUUUGUGCUAAGCUUAUAGCCUUUCAUAGACAACUUGUUGACUAUGAUCAGUCAUGUAGCUUACUCGCUUAUGUUAUUUUACCUACGCUUAGGAUGUUGACGAUCAGCUGAGCGCG
rnacentral:rRNA from 1 species